rnacentral:tRNA from 1 species
GGGUGAUUAGCUCAGUUGGUAGAGUGUCUCGUUUACACCGAGAAGGUCGUAGGUUCGAAUCCUACAUCACCCA